CGGACCGGCGCACGGGUGCGUAACGCGUAUGCAACCUACCUUUAACAGGGGGAUAACACUGAGAAAUUGGUACUAAUACCCCAUAAUAUCAUAGAAGGCAUCUUUUAUGGUUGAAAAUUCCGAUGGUUAGAGAUGGGCAUGCGUUGUAUUAGCUAGUUGGUGGGGUAACGGCUCACCAAGGCGACGAUCGGUAGCCGGACUGAGAGGUUGAACGGCCACAUUGGGACUGAGACACGGUCCAA
rnacentral:rRNA from 1 species